GGAUAGUGGCCUACCAUGGUGGCAACGGGUAACGGGGAAUUAGGGUUCGAUUCCGGAGAGGGAGCCUGAGAAACGGCUACCACAUCCAAGGAAGGCAGCAGGCGCGCAAAUUACCCAAUCCCGAUACGGGGAGGUAGUGACAAUAAAUACUGAUACGGGGCUCUUUUGGGUCUCGUAAUUGGAAUGAGAACAAUUUAAAUCCCUUAACGAGGAACAAUUGGAGGGCAAGUCUGGUGCCAGCAGCCGCGGUAAUUCCAGCUCCAAUAGCGUAUAUUAAAGUUGUUGCAGUUAAAAAGCUCGUAGUUGAACCUUGGGUCUGGCUGGUCGGUCCGCCUCACCGCGAGUACUGAUCCGGCUGGACCUUUCCUUCUGGGGAACCUCAUGGCCUUCACUGGCUGUGGGGGGAACCAGGACUUUUACUGUGAAAAAAUUAGAAGUGUUCAAAGCAGGCCUUUGCUCGAAUACAUUAGCAUGGAAUAAUAGAAUAGGACGUGUGGUUCUAUUUUGUUGGUUUCUAGGACCGCCGUAAUGAUUAAUAGGGAUAGUCGGGGGCGUCAGUAUUCAGCUGUCAGAGGUGAAAUUCUUGGAUUUGCUGAAGACUAACUACUGGCGAAAGCAUUCCCAAGGAUGUUUUUCAUUAAUCAAGGGA
rnacentral:rRNA from 1 species